rnacentral:rRNA from 1 species
UCCUCCAAGGCUAAAUACUCCUGACUGACCGAUAGUGAACCAGUACCGUGAGGGAAAGGCGAAAAGAACCCCGGCGAGGGGAGUGAAAAAGAACCUGAAACCGUGUACGUACAAGCAGUGGGAGCACAGGUUUACCUGUGUGACUGCGUACCUUUUGUAUAAUGGGUCAGCGACUUAUAUUCUGUAGCAAGGUUAACCGAAUAGGGGAGCCGGAGGGAAACCGAGUCUUAAUUGGGCGUUAAGUUGCAGGGUAUAGACCCGAAACCCGGUGAUCUAGCCAUGGGCAGGUUGAAGGUUGGGUAACACUAACUGGAGGACCGAACCGAC